GAUCCGGUCCGGAAAUCCGGAUCCGGGUAAAUACGGGCGGAUAUCCGCCCGGAUUACACCCGGGCGGUUGUUAUAAAACCGGAUCCGGUUACGGAUCCGGUUUUAUAACCCGGUAAUCCGUAACCGGGUUAUACACCCGGUUACUGAUUUUCCCCCCCGAAACGACACCGUUUCUUCUUAUGUUGGAUUUUCCCCAAACAUAACCCGGUAAUCCGUCUCUCUCGAUCGAAUCUCAGCAUCUCACUCGUCUUCUCUCACGCUCGUCUCUCAAGAACCCUAGGCCCGUGGCGAUUGCAUAGCAAAUCCGUCUGUCUCUGUCUUGAAACCUAAGGUAGGAUGUUGAUUGGGCGUUUCAGAGGUCGUAUCGGGAAACAGAUGAUUGGCUCACUCGUUGAGCAACCAAGAAACUGAAAAAGGUUACCAAGAGGACAUUUUAUCAACAUGAGGCACUAGCUGUCUCCGAUUUGUAGAGAAAAAGCAAACUUGGAAGAAAGAACAUUGAGAAAAUGAGUUGUUGGAUUGUGCUGGUCAAUGUCCCUUGUGCAGCUUCCUCAAUUCUAUAUUCAACUUUCAAGAUGUGAAGGACAUUGUAAUUUUUUUUUUUUUGAAAUAGUAGCAGCAUUGUAAUGUAUUAUUAUUUAUUUUGUUCU